UCUGAAAAAGAAAUCACAGUUGCUCAAUUU
rnacentral:piRNA from 1 species